rnacentral:snRNA from 1 species
UGCCGGAUUCUCUUGAGAAA